rnacentral:rRNA from 1 species
GACGAACGCUGGCGGCGUGCUUAACACAUGCAAGUCGAACGGAAAGGCCCUGCUUUUGUGGGGUGCUCGAGUGGCGAACGGGUGAGUAACACGUGAGUAACCUGCCCUUGACUUUGGGAUAACUUCAGGAAACUGGGGCUAAUACCGGAUAGGAGCUCCUGCUGCAUGGUGGGGGUUGGAAAGUUUCGGCGGUGGGGGAUGGACUCGCGGCUUAUCAGCUUGUUGGUGAGGUAGUGGCUUACCAAGGCUUUGACGGGUAGCCGGCCUGAGAGGGUGACCGGCCACAUUGGGACUGAGAUACGGCCCAGACUCCUACGGGAGGCAGCAGUGGGGAAUAUUGCACAAUGGGCGGAAGCCUGAUGCAGCAACGCCGCGUGCGGGAUGACGGCCUUCGGGUUGUAAACCGCUUUCGCCUGUGACGAAGCGUGAGUGACGGUAAUGGGUAAAGAAGCACCGGCUAACUACGUG